UCAAUCUCCACAGGGCAGACUGUCAUCCGAGCUCGGCCUGUCCUGCUGUCUGCUCUCUCCAGAGAGCAUCCUUCAUCCUGAUAAACGGGCUGUGAGCUGAGCACGUGACUGAGCUCCUUAAGCAGGUAUCUAAUCAAACUUUCUGUGCUGGGUGCUGAAAGGGAAACAGAGCAUCUAAGACAUGGACCCAGCUUUCAUGCACCUUUCAGUGAGGUGUGAAAACCAGGAUGUGCGCCCCAGUUCCCAAAGGUGGAAGCCCACAAGGAAGAUCUGGGUCUUGAGCCUCCUGCUCUCGAUUUAACUGGAAGCUGGUGACAGCCACAUAAAGAGGAGUUCUGAAAGGGACAUCUGAAUGAAAAGGGGGCCUCUUGUUCCCUCCAGCGGCUGGUGAAACACUCCUGCCUUCUGAUUCCUUAGGCUCUGUCUGUGGCACAGGAGCCUGGCCCUGAGCUAACAUCGUGCCCAUCUUCCUCUACUUUAUAUGUGGGACGCCUACCACAGCAUGGUGUGCCAAGCAGUGCCAUGUCCACACCCGGGAUCCGAACUGACGAACCCCGGGCCGCAGAGAAGCAGAAUGUGCGAAGUUA
rnacentral:lncRNA from 1 species